rnacentral:lncRNA from 1 species
CAGCAGAGCAAGUCUCAAAUCUGCCUCCACAGUAAUAGAUUCUGGAGACAUCUGCAGCAUGGGCGAUCGCAGGCUAAGAGCAGAUGAAGUGGGCUAAGCCUGGGGGGCCUAAUCAGGUUUUCCAGCUCCGGGGCCUCCAGGCCUCCUCAUAUCUAUGGUCUUCCUUGACCUGCAGGUUCAGCGUUGACUGUCACAUCUGGAAGCCAGUUGUGGCCCUCAGCAGAAGGCACGGAAGGAUGUCAAAGUCUCCAGGCUGGAGCCCAAGUCAACCUCAAUGGCCGCUUCCACCAGCCCUCUGCUGCAGAUGCCUUCCUCGCUGUCACCAGAUGAUCGCGGCUCCUAUUUUAUGGAGAAGUGAAAUGAGAACUGUGCCAGCCGCUCUGUCCUCACCAGCUCUCAUCUCUGGCUUCUCUAACUGCCAUGGGCCAUCACCCCAAAGGCAGAGGCUGACUCAGGCCCAGGCUGACUCCUGCGCCCUCCUGGACAGUCCUUCCCGUUUCCUCUUGACCUGUUCCAUGGCUUAGCCCCUCUCCUGCACCGCCAACUUCCCUGUCCAAGGACCCUCUGUUCAGUGUUCAAAAACACACUAGGUCUCCCACGGGGUGGGGACCUGCCAACCUCGGACCACUUCCUCUUCACUCCUGCAGUCCACGCUCAAGUUUCUUGAAAGAGCUGUUGACACCCAGUCUGACUUCCCCCUCCACUGCUUUUUCACCUACUUGUCUGCUGCCACAGAGACUUGCCAUCGCCAAGGCCACCAACCAUCUCCUGAUCACACAUCAAACACAUUUUGGCGGCCACCUGAAGCUGCUGACCGCUCCCUCCCUCUGAACACCUCUCUUUGGAAUCUAACAGGGACCUGCUCUCCCCCGUCCUCUUCCUCUCUCCAGCUUUCUCUCUUGAUCCCCUUCAGGGCAUCUCUUCUCUUGCUGGACAGGUCAAGGGUCAAGUCGCCCCUUCCCCAGGCACCCCCACCAGCCACCCUGUCUCAUCCACAUCUGCUGAACAACUCCCCGCCUGCCUCUGGGGCCCAGAUCUGCCCCUGUGCUUCUGGCUUCUGACCCACACGCCCCAUUGCUGGCUCCCAAGGUGGACACUCUCCCAGCCCUAUUCUGGGGUUUGAGGAGUGCCCCACCGGCAAUUGUCACAGCCUAACUAUUUCUAUCACUUCUGUCACAUUCUAUUGGUAAAACACUUGCAGGACUGUCCUCGAGUCCAUGGGGAGGGGACCGUUGUUAUGGACAGUUGCAAAGAUAUGAAGCUGUCUCUGACCCACCACGGAGGACAGGCAGGUGAUGUGGUUGUCUGAUACAGAGUGACCUUCGUCGCCAUGCAGGAAUGUCAAACCUGAUUUCCCAAGAUAAAUUAAAGCUAUGGAUUUUCAUGUGAAAGCUCCAGAUCUUUUAAUGUUGGCAGCUAAUUCUAAAACUUCUAAAAAUGUCGUGUG